rnacentral:tRNA from 1 species
GCUGGGAUGGCAGAGCGGUCAAUUGCACCAGACUGUAAAUCUGGCGCCUCAUGGCUACGCAGGUUCGAAUCCUGCUCCCAGCA